rnacentral:rRNA from 1 species
UAGGGAAUCUUCGGCAAUGGGGGGAACCCUGACCGAGCAACGCCGCGUGAGUGAAGAAGGUUUUCGGAUCGUAAAGCUCUGUUGUUAGAGAAGAACAGCGCAUAGAGUAACUGUUAUGCGUGUGACGGUAUCUAACCAGAAAGCCACUGCUAACUACGUGCCAGCAGCCGCGGUAAUACGUAGGUGGCAAGCGUUGUCCGGAUUUAUUGGGCGUAAAGCGAGCGCAGGCGGUCAAUUAAGUCUGAUGUGAAAGCCCCCGGCUCAACCGGGGAGGGUCAUUGGAAACUGGUUGACUUGAGUGCAGAAGAGGAGAGUGGAAUUCCAUGUGUAGCGGUGAAAUGCGUAGAUAUAUGGAGGAACACCAGUGGCGAAGGCGACUCUCUGGUCUGUAACUGACGCUGAGGCUCGAAAGCGUGGGUAGCAAACAGG